UACGUAGGGUCCGAGCGUUGUCCGGAAUUACUGGGCGUAAAGCGUGCGCAGGCGGUUUUGUAAGUCUGUCGUGAAAGCCCCGGGCUCAACCUGGGAAUUGCGAUGGAGACUGCAAGGCUUGAAUCUGGCAGAGGGGGGUAGAAUUCCACGUGUAGCAGUGAAAUGCGUAGAGAUGUGGAGGAACACCGAUGGCGAAGGCAGCCCCCUGGGUCAAGAUUGACGCUCAUGCACGAAAGCGUGGGGAGCAAACAGG
rnacentral:rRNA from 1 species